GCUCCGGUGGACUAGUGGUUAGAGCGUCCGCCUCGAAUGCGAAAGGUAACCGGUUCGAACCCCGGCCGAGUCA